UUGGUUCUGGGGAGGAAAGGGGGGAGCGGUGGCGCGGGGACUGGGGAGGGGCUAAGGAGGGGGGGGUCACUUCGCCCCCUCACCCUCUCUCUCUCUCUGCCUUGUCCCGGCCCUGAGUGUCGCCCCAGAAGGGCUUGAAGGAAUGUAGUGGGUUAGGACACAACGGGGAGGGCGCAAACUGGAGGAAGCGAGAGACGUCGCCAGGGACCCAGGGCCCUCUCCUUCUAGUUCCCCGAGCCCGCCCGCCUCCACUGGCAACUCCCUGUAGAGCGCCCAAUCUGCCCCGGCCAGUCUCCGGGCUGGCAGUCUGGCCAGUACCCGGGGCGCUUGAGUGUCCUCUCCCCGGAUCACUGCUUGGGCCCCCACCUUGGGGAGGAUGCGCCCGAGGUCUCGUCCCCGGGGCUCACUCUGAAUCUGGCGCCUGCUCUCUCAGGGGCACCCUCCCCAACCCGACGGUGGAGUUUUUGCCCCUCCUGAGACAGUGUGAGAGAAGGACAAACUUUUGAGUGGAUAAAGAUCAAGAAGAGCCCGUCCAGAGCAGGCAGAGGCCCAGAUUUCCUGAAUCAAGGAAUAGGAGGCCUUCUCCGGGACCCACACCUCUUCUCUGGCCUCUCAAACUGGUGAUGCUGUGAAGGUUUGGUGACAUGGAGGAGGAGAAGGGACAAGAGGGCAAAGAGUCGUUUGCUUUAUCAAGAAAUCAGUGGCUUCGGCGGUUCCUCCCACUGGUAUUUAUUUAGUACCUACUCUGUGCAAAGCGCUGUCCCUACCUCAGUUUGUCACGACAGUCAGUAAUGAGAUUCCGGCCACUCUCAGGCUUCAGUGUGUGUGGA